GGUUGAUCCUGCCAGUAGUCAUAUGCUUGUCUCAAAGAUUAAGCCAUGCAUGUCUAAGUAUAAAUGCUUUAUACUGUGAAACUGCGAAUGGCUCAUUAAAUCAGUUAUUGUUUAUUUGAUGGUACCUUACUACUCGGAUACCCGUAGUAAUUCUAGAGCUAAUACGUGCGUAAAUCCCGACUCACGAAGGGACGUAUUUAUUAGAUAAAAGGCCGACCGUGCUUGCACGUCCUUGGUGACUCAUGAUAACCAUACGAAUCGCAGUGGCCUUGC
rnacentral:rRNA from 1 species